rnacentral:rRNA from 1 species
GAUGAACGCUGGCGGCGUGCCUAAUACAUGCAAGUCGAGCGAACAGACGAGGAGCUUGCUCCUCUGACGUUAGCGGCGGACGGGUGAGUAACACGUGGAUAACCUACCUAUAAGACUGGGAUAACUUCGGGAAACCGGAGCUAAUACCGGAUAAUAUAUUGAACCGCAUGGUUCAAUAGUGAAAGGCGGUUUUGCUGUCACUUAUAGAUGGAUCCGCGCCGCAUUAGCUAGUUGGUAAGGUAACGGCUUACCAAGGCAACGAUGCGUAGCCGACCUGAGAGGGUGAUCGGCCACACUGGAACUGAGACACGGUCCAGACUCCUACGGGAGGCAGCAGUAGGGAAUCUUCCGCAAUGGGCGAAAGCCUGACGGAGCAACGCCGCGUGAGUGAUGAAGGUCUUCGGAUCGUAAAACUCUGUUAUCAGGGAAGAACAAAUGUGUAAGUAACUAUGCACGUCUUGACGGUACCUAAUCAGAAAGCCACGGCUAACUACGUG